GACGAACGCUGGCGGCGUGCUUAACACAUGCAAGUCGAACGGAAAGGCCCUGCUUUUGUGGGGUGCUCGAGUGGCGAACGGGUGAGUAACACGUGAGUAACCGGCUCUUGACUUUGGGAUAACUUCAGGAAACUGGGGCUAAUACCGGAUAGGAGCUCCUGCUGCAUGGUGGGGGUUGGAAAGUUUCGGCGGUUGGGGAUGGACUCGCGGCUUAUCAGCUUGUUGGUGGGGUAGUGGCUUACCAAGGCUUUGACGGGUAGCCGGCCUGAGGGGGUGACCGGCCACAUUGGGACUGAGAUGCGGCCGAGACUCCUACGGGAGGCAGCAGUGGGGAAUAUUGCACAAGGGGCGGAAGCCUGAUGCAGCAACGCCGCGUGCGGGAUGACGGCCUUCGGGUUGUAAACCGCUUUCGCCUGUGACGAAGCGUGAGUGACGGUAAUGGGUAAAGAAGGACCGGCUAACUACGUG
rnacentral:rRNA from 1 species